AACUGCAACCCUAUCGACACGUGCUCAUUUCCAAUGCCCCCGCCACCACACAUGCCACCCAUGGUCAAUCCUGUUGGAAUCCCUCAGCCUCCAGCACUGUCUCUGCCUCCACAACCUCCUGCGGAAGAGCAGCCACCUCCACCUGAUGAGCCAGAACCAAAGAGGCAGAGAGCAGAUGAUGCUUCUCUUGUCCUGGCAGAGCAGUUCCUCACUCAGUAUCCUGGUCCUGCUAGCAUGUCAGUAUCUGUACCCAACCUUGAUGAAGGAAAUCUGCGUGGCCAAGUUUUGGAGAUUCACGUCCAAUCACUGUCUGACACAGUAGGUAGUCUGAAGGAGCAGAUUGCUGGAGAGUUGUAGCUCCCUGCUAAUAAGCAGAAGUUGAGUGUGAGGACUAGUUUCCUCAAAGACAACCUUUCUCUUGCUUACCACAAUGUGGGUCCUGGAGUGGUGAUCAAUCUAACACUGAGGGAGCGUGGUGGGAGAAGGAAAUGAAAGCCUUUUCAACCUCAGCACAGUGUCAGCAUGGAACGCCACAGGAUGCUGCAAACUACUUAUACCCAUGGCGCAUCGAAGCAAAAUCUACUUUCCAAAGAAUCCGAAGCUUUCCAUGGCAACGCGCAAAUUGAACUACCAGGGUCAAGGAAAUGGGGAAGAUCAAGACUGGAGGUCUCAAUCUCAAUCCCAGACUGGGUUGGCUUGAAACUGAUGACAUUUCUCUCCUCACUGUUAGAGGAACAAGACAGCACUUCAGCAAUUAAUUUCCCUCCAGGUACUUGCAGAGCUACGUUUAGUGAUUCAGUUUAUUCCCUCAGUUUCCUCCUAGAAGUCUCCUGGCAGACAUGCAAGCUGCUAUUAUCUUAACCACUGCAGUCUAUAGUCAUCAUCUUCAGCAUACAUAUGCUGCAAACACAUACAGCCAAAGUGUGUCUCCUUGAAUUUUAAUUUAUUUGAUCAGUGUCAUGUGGUAUCUUUGGACACUUUCACCCUGAUAAUUACUUCAGUGCAGUUUAAACAUAUGCCUAUUAUAAGACUUUUCAAGAUUGGUUCUGCAGUUAAUUCUCUCAUGCCAUGAUUAUGCCAUCACUCCUUGGUCUGCAACUAUGCAGUUGAGGACCAUAAUUUACCCACAUCUUGGUACAGUACAAAUCUUGAUCCUUCACAACAUUUCAUUUUGAUAGAUUGAACCAACAGAUCAUUGACUGCCGAGGCUGUCUGUCAUUACCUUCACACAUAAGUUUUGUGGCUUAUUGUCACCAAACUCAUGUGCCUCAUUUGUGAACGCAGUGUAAAUUUGCAGACCUCAAUGCCUUUUGUUUUAUGCUGUUUUGUGCCACGUGUUAUUUUUUGAGCUAGCUGGUUGUUCAAGUUUCGACGAGUCAUUUUAUGAAGCUAGAGAUUAACUUUUUUUUAUAAAGCUAGAGAUAAUUUUUUUAAUAUAAAGCUAGAGAUUAACUGUUGGGAUGCUAUCUUGGAAGAGUUUGCUGAUGGAAUGCAGAUGGGUGUUUCACUGCUUGGCGUUUCACCAUUGGUGCUAAUCAGUAGUCAUUUAAGUCUUGAUGACAAGGUUCAAAUACUGGAAGCUUAUUCAGUUCUAAGACAGGCUUCAAAGUAAGAUGUAGUAAAGCCAUGCUUUUCAAUGAUGACAACAUCAAGUGUCACAUCAACCGGUCGAACUCAGACAUGUGUGUGCACAACUGCACCACCGGCAGGGCUGGAAACCGAAAUCUCCGUGCUUCGGUUUCAGUAUGAGGAAAUUUCAUAAAGGUGCAAGCAACAAAGCAAGCCCUGAGUCAAGUCUAUGGUUUUGACUCACUCUGGUUGCACGCACCAGGCAAUCUUUUCUAGACAAGAACCUGAAGUAACCAGGCUUGCUAGUGGAUCCAAAAACUUAUACAGGAAAUCUGGAACAAUUCAGUCAAAACUUGCACAAAUUUGAUUAAAUUUUACCCAUAAAAUAAAAUCAAAGCAGCAAGCACUGGAGUCUGAUAAAGUUUUAAAACCUAUAACAUUAGCCUCAAAGCAUGUCUGAGCUCGGUUUCGGUUGCGGUUCGGGUUCUGGCCAGGUCCUUAUGUCGUUGUCAGGCUUUGUCCUAAUCAUCUCCUUUGACUUGUCACUUGUAUACUCUGCAAAGUGGAGCUUUGGAUGCCGCCAUUCGGUUUUCGGUUUGGUUAGUGAUUCGGGUUGUACGUCUCCUAUAAAUACCAGGACAUCACAGUUCUUGUCUGCCUCCUCCAUCCAAGCUCCAAGCAAACUCAUUCCCUCUGGCGCCAAGCAUCACGCACGGCUGGCACUUUACACA